rfam:Ornithorhynchus anatinus chromosome X5, whole genome shotgun sequence.
UCCUUCUCAGAAUCGCACCUGGAGAGUUUCCAGUACUCUACUAGUUUCGGCUAUGGGAGGGAGCGUCAAGCAAGGGCACAACCAUUCCAUUCCUAGUUUGGGCAGUGGCUAGCCAGUGGAAGGUAAUCUGCUACAAGU